rnacentral:rRNA from 1 species
GACGAACGCUGGCGGCGUGCCUAAUACAUGCAAGUUGAGCGCUGAAGGUUGGUACUUGUACCGACUGGAUGAGCAGCGAACGGGUGAGUAACGCGUGGGUAAUCUGCCUUUGAGCGGGGGACAACAUUUGGAAACGAAAGCUAAUACCGCAUAAAAACUUUAAACACAAGUUUUAAGUUUGAAAGAUGCAAUUGCAUCACCCAAAGAUGAUCCCGCGUUGUAUUAGCUAGUUGGUGAGGUAAAGGCUCACCAAGGCGAUGAUACAUAGCCGAGCUGAGAGGGUGAUCGGCCACAAUGGGACUGAGACACGGCCCAAACUCCUACGGGAGGGAGCAGUAGGGGAUUUUCGGCAAUGGACGAAAGUCUGACCGAGCAAAGCCGGGGGAGUGAAGAAGGUUUUCGGAUCGUAAAACUCUGUUGGUAGGGAAGAACGUUGGUGAGAGUGGAACGCUCAUCAAGUGACGGUACCUACCCAGAAAGCGACGGCUAACUACGUG